rnacentral:rRNA from 1 species
UACGUAAGGGGCAAGCGUUGUCCGGAAUCACUGGGCGUAAAGCGCACGUAGGCGGAUCUUUAAGUCAGGGGUGAAAUCCUGGAGCUCAACUCCAGAACUGCCUUUGAUACUGAGGAUCUCGAGUCCGGGAGAGGUGAGUGGAACUGCGAGUGUAGAGGUGAAAUUCGUAGAUAUUGGGGAAGAACACCAGUGGCGAAGGCGGCUAUCUGGACGGUUUCUGACGCUAAGACGCGAAAGCGUGGGGAGCAAACAGG